UUUUGCAUAUGUAUUUGCAAGAAAUUGAAAAUCUCAAUUGCAAAUAGAUGUAUUAUUCUCGACAUGUGUCUAACAUGGAAACAGAUAUAUCAUAGAAAUAUUCCGGAAUACUGCAUACUCAACAGGGAAACAGUACUAUAAAGAUAUUGAAUAUACUUUGCAAGAGAUUUAAAAUCUCAAUUGCAAAUAGACGUAAUUAAUCUUGACACGUGGCAAACGUGGAAAUAUAUUACAUCAAUUUAGGAUCUGGAAUACAUCUCGGUACUCAACAGAAAAAUACUACUAAUGUAGUGAAUAAUGGUGAUGUUGCAAACUUGAUGUUCAAAUGAAAAACUUGAAUUGUAUAAACCUCAAAUUAAAAUGAGAUAAUCUUGUAUCAAGUUGCAAGAUAAUUCAGCGAGCUGAAUUAAUAAUUUGCGAGAUAAAAUUAAUCUCAAUCCCAAUGAGAUUGUUUUUGCGAGAAAAUAAUAAUUCUCAAUCGCAAAUCUAUAUUGUUGUGCGAGAAAAACUUAAUCUCAAUCGCGGAAAACAUGUUCUAGAGAGUUUGAUAUGUGGUAAACACAUUGAACAUAUCAAGUAUCAACAUACACAUAUUUCUGGAAUUUUAAAAUUCAACAGAAAAUACAGUAAUUAACAGGGUCUAAGACAGGCAAGUACUAGUAAAUAGUACUUUUAGCAGGCCAAAUUCACAAACUCCAAAAAAUAGAAAGGAAUUGUGCAAAAUUUGCCUGGACCACUGUUUCGGCCUAUUCUGCGAAUUCCUGCAACUGCAGAGAACUUGGUGCAAAGAGGCGAAGAGAUAAGGCUUAUCUUCUUCCUCUGAGCGGUUGCCAAUCGGGAGAAAUCCCAAGGGCUGCUCCGGUCAUCUCCAUGGCCUCGUCAGGCCGCCGCCUUAGCCGUGCGACCAUGCCACGCGGCCGACCGGAUGGAGGGAGCGUCGCGCCUCGCGUUGGAGGGCGCGGAGGUGUCGCCGGGAGAGCUUGUGCGCCGUGGUGGCGCUCCGUCGGCGAGAGGAGCGGCGUAUCACGCGCCUGAGGGGUCGGAGGGCCAUCGCCGGCCUGCGCGGUUGCGAGCCGAGGGCCGCGGCAUCGCCUCGGUCUUCCACGCCGCGUCGCGGAGCACCGAGGCUGCCGUCUGCGACUUGCGCAGUGGGAGGGCGUGUAGCCAAGCACAACGCCAGGGCCGAUGGCCACGGCACGCCGAGAGGAGCACCGUCGGGCCGAGGGCUGCUGCAUGCUCCUCGCUGGGAGCCCCGUACCUCACUUGGAAGGCGUGGCGCCAUGGGCGUGCACGCUGGGCAUCGCCGCGGUCGCGCGUUAAGCGGCCGCUUGCUGCCUUGCGCGGAGGCCGAGCCGCCUCGUUUCCGUCGCGGCAGGCGAAACCGGUGGUUCCGGUGUCCAAGUCCAGCGCGGGGCCGAGGUCAGACCAAUCUGAUGAUGUCGUUGUUCAUGUCCUUGAUGGCAAGAUGGCAACGAGCGGCACCACCAGUCCAGCGAGAUGGUAAUGAAGAAUCGAAGUGACAGUUAGAGACCGAGAGAUUUGUCGUCGUGGCCGUGCACGGCGCGAGGCUGCCGAUUGGAAGCGCUUUCGCCGGGCUGAGGACCGCCGCGCCACCACGCCGAACCAACGGCUGUAGCCGCCGAACUCGCAGGCGAUCGAUGCUGCAGCCAGGAGCCGUGGCGCUGACGGAAUCGCUCCGCCAGGAGCCGUCUCGCAGAUGGAAUCGCUCCGCCGGGGAGCGUGCUGAUAACGUGUUUUGAUUAGAGAACAAGAGAAUAGACACAGAGAUGUAAAUGAACAGUCGUUUACUUUAUUAUGAUGUGAUCACACAUAUAUAUGCCACUAGAGAGGUGUCUGUAGAGAGAGACGCCUGUCCAGCGAACCGACGCGACAGUUGCCAAAGCAACUGCCUGCGGUUAGAUAAAGCAGGGAUUAAUCCCUUAAUUAAUCCUAACAGUAUUCAGCGAUUAA